UACGUAGGGUGCGAGCGUUAAUCGGAAUUACUGGGCGUAAAGCGUGCGCAGGCGGUUUUGUAAGCCAGGUGUGAAAUCCCCGGGCUCAACCUGGGAAUGGCAUUUGGGACUGCAAGGCUGGAGUGCGGCAGAGGAGACUGGAAUUCCUGGUGUAGCAGUGAAAUGCGCAGAUAUCGGGAGGAACACCGGUGGCGAAGGCGGUUCUCUGGGCCUGUACUGACGCUGAGGAACGAAAGCGUGGGGAGCGAACAGG
rnacentral:rRNA from 1 species